GAUGAAGAACGUAGCGAAAUGCGAUAAGUAAUGUGAAUUGCAGAAUUCAGUGAAUCAUCGAAUCUUUGAACGCACAUUGCGCCCUCUGGUAUUCCGGGGGGCAUGCCUGUUCGAGCGUCAUUACAACCCUCAAGCUCAGCUUGGUGUUGGGCCCCGCCGCCCCGGCGGGCCCUAAAGUCAGUGGCGGUGCCGUCCGGCUCCGAGCGUAGUAAUUCUUCUCGCUCUGGAGGUCCGGUCGUGUGCUCGCCAGCGACCCCCAAUUUUUUUCAGGUUGACCUCGGAUCAGGUAGGGAUACCCGCUGAACUUAAGCAUAUCAAUAAGCGGAGGA
rnacentral:misc_RNA from 1 species